UACAGAGGGUGCGAGCGUUGUUCGGAAUUAUUGGGCGUAAAGCGCUGGUAGGUGGCUUGAAAAGACGCGUGUGAAAGCUUCCGGCUCAACCGGAAAAGUGCGCGCGAAACUGGCGAGCUUGAGUGCCGGAGAGGGUCGCGGAAUUCCCGGUGUAGAGGUGAAAUUCGUAGAUAUCGGGAGGAACACCAGAGGCGAAGGCGGCGACCUGGAAGGUAACUGACACUGAGAAGCGAAAGCGUGGGUAGCAAACAGG
rnacentral:rRNA from 1 species